rnacentral:ncRNA from 1 species
GAAAGCCGUGUACGGGAGAACCGUAUGCACGGUUUGAUGAGGGAGGGCUGGCAUCCUGUGGCGACGACUCGGC